rfam:Camelus ferus unplaced genomic scaffold scaffold1183, whole genome shotgun sequence.
AGAGGUAUAGCUCUGUGAUAGAGUGCAUGCUUAACAUGCACAAGGUCCUAGGUUCAAUCCCCAGUACCUUCA